CACUCUUCUCCACACCACCUUCUUCUUCUUCUUCCUAAUUCAUGAUCUCCAUGUUCCCUUCUCUCCAUUUUAUUCUUCUCUUGAUGUUGAUAUUGAUGUUGAUCAAAGGAUGGAAUCAUUGCCUCGAGGUCACUGUCUAUGCUCGUCGUCCUAGCCACCUCGUCACGUCGGACACACAACCGUGACUUUGGUGCCACCGUCCCAUCACCACCUCUUGACGUUGGGUUGUUGCAGCCCACCGGAGAGGCAUGCCGUCAUUGACUUAGUCGUCGCAAGUCACCGCCGUCAAGACCCGUGCAAGUAAAUCAUGAUCUCAUCACUUGCUUGCCCACCAAGUUUCUUAAGUUUGAUUGUUCACUUGUACCAAUUUCUGAGCCAACGUCAUGAGCCGUGAACCCAUGAGUAAAGGUUUAAGUGACUUUGUUUAUUUCUUGAGCAGGAAGUUACUGUAAACCCUAGCCCUAACUGUCUCUUUUUGUUUCUUUUUCCGAUCGUUUCCUUUAUGCGCUAAGGUGAAGCCGGUCUAAGCCUUUCCAAUCAUUGGUUUUUUUUAUGUUUCCGGUUCUCCGAUAUUGGCUAAGGUGAGGG
rnacentral:lncRNA from 1 species